UUAUAUACACAGUAAGGCAGGUUUUCAGAUUUGCAAUUGGAUUGCGAAUGAUAUCAAAAUUAUUGACCAUAUUGAUUCCAAAUUAGUGGCCGAUGGAAUGAAAACUUUGAGAAAUGAAAACGAUAAGAAUAUCGAAAGAGUACUUGGCAUAUUUUGGAACCCAAUUAAUGAUACUUUCGAGUUCAAAACCAAAUUCCACAAAAUUGAAAAGGAUUUGUUGGAAAAUAUAAGAAGACCGACGAAAAGGGAGAUUUUGAAAAUUGUAAUGUCAGUUUUUGAUCCACUGGGAUUUAUUACAAAGACAAACAUAUUGAUUCAAGGUAAGAUGCUGAUACAGGAUGUUUGGAGGAGCCAGUUAGGUUGGGACGACGAAAUUACAGAUAACUUGGCGAAUAAAUGGAACAUAUGGAUUGAGGAAUUGAAGAAAAUGUAUAAUUUCAAGAUACCACGACAAUAUUUCACAUUCGAUAGGAGUUCAAGUCAUUUGCAGCUGCACAUAUUCUGCGAUGCUUCAGAAAGAUGCUAUGCUUCAGUAGCUUAUCUGAGAAUACAAUAUGGAAAUGAAGUACAGGUCAGUUUCGUAAAUGCCAAAGCAAGAGUGUCUCCUUUAAAACCUAUGUCAAUACCAAGGUUGGAACUUCAAGGGGCAUUAAUGGGUGCACGCUUAGGUAACUAUCUAAUGAAGAAUUUAAACUUGAAUAUUUCAUCCACGACAUAUUGGACUGAUUCAAAAACAGUUCUCCAUUGGAUUCGAUCGGAAGCUGGACGUUUUAAAGUAUUUGUAGCCCAAAGACUAGGUGAAAUUCAAGAAUUAACAUGUGUAACUGACUGGAAAUAUGUUAGAUCUUCAGACAACGUUGCGGACGAAGCGACGAAAUAUGUUAUCAACUCCUCAGUAUCAGCAGAUUCUAGGUGGAUAUGUGGGCCAAAGUUUCUACUAUUGAAUUCCCAGGAAUGGCCAAGAGAAAUCGAACAUGAUUUGAAAAUUGAUUCGGACAAUUUAGAAAUGAAAAGACUGGAGUAUACUUGCAUCAACUUUUCAGCACAAGAUUUGAUCCCUGAUAUUCCUAAUCCUGAAAGAUUUUCAAAAUGGACGAGACUUCUUAGAGCUACAGCCUACAUAAUCCGAGUAAGAAACAUACUACGAGCAAAAGUUUUCAUCCGGAACGAAAUUACCGUUGAAGAGUUGUAUGAAGCUGAAAUUAUUCUUUAUCGAAAGGUACAGAUGGAAUCUUUUCUAGAAGAAUACAAGAUGUUACAACAAGGUCAAAUAAUCAAGAAAACGAGUCGCCUCUUUUCAUUGUCUUGUACGUUCAGAGAAGAGGACAAGUUGAUGAGGCUAGAUGGACGAUUGAAUAAUUCUUCAUCUUUGAAUUUCGAUACGAAACAUCCGAUAAUAUUAGACCCGAAACAUAGAAUAACUAAACUGAUAAUUCAACAUUAUCAUGAAAAUGCAUAUCAUUUUGGACAAGAAAUAGUACUCAACAAAUUACGAUGUAAAUUUUGGAUUUUACGUAUGAGACAAGCAGUGAAAAAUGUUUUCCAUAAUUGUCAGCAAUGUAGCAAUAGGCGAGCCAAUCCCAUGAUACCAAUUAUGGGACAAUUACCGUCAUGCAGAAUAGAACCAACAAUCAGACCAUUCAUAAAAUGUGGAGUGGAUUAUUUUGGACCUUUUGAAGUUGCAGUGAAGAGAAGCAGAGAGAAAAGGUAUGGAGUUAUUUUCACUUGUUUAGUAACCAGGGCAGUUUACUUAGAAAUUGCUCAUGACCCCACGACUAAUGCUUUUAUAAAUGUACUCCGGCAAUUUGGUUGUAGACGUGGGUUUCCUCACGAAAUCCAUAGUGACAAUGGAUUGAACUUUAGAGGGGCUGAAAGGGAAAUUUCGCAACAUCUUGACAAUUUACAACAAAAUGAAAUAAUAGAAUUUUGUUCUUUGCGAGGAAUUAAAUGGCAUUUUAAUCCUCCACAUGCACCACAUAUGGGCGGCAUAUGGGAGCGGCAAAUUCAAAGCAUAAAGAAGAUAUUAAAGGAAAUUCUGAAUACUAGGUAUCCUCAAGAACAUAUACUCAGAACCUUCCUCAUAGAGUGCGAAAAUAUAUUGAAUUCCAGACCUCUGACACACGUUUCUUCCGAUUCUCAUGACUCUGAACCUCUAACACCAAAUCACUUCCUGAUCGGACCAGAUUUUGUAGCACAACCUUGGACUGUGACUACUGACAAUCGAGAUCUUAAUCUUAUGAACAGUUGGAGGUCAGCUCAGCGUUUGGCAGACUUCUUUUGGAAGCGAUGGCUUGAUGACUAUUUACCAACAAUUAUUAAACGGUCCAAAUGGUAUCAAGAACAGAAGAAUAUCAAAGUUGAUGACAUUGUUAUAAUUGUUGAUCCAAAUGGAACAAGAAAUGAUUGGCGAAAAGCAAGAGUAGUUAAAACGUAUCCUGCCAAAGAUGGUAGAAUUCGUAUAGUUGACGUCAAGGAUGGGAAUGGAAAGGUAUACCGAAGAGCGCUGUCCAAACUCAUUGUACUUGAUCUUCAGUAGUAAUUGUUGGAAGAGAGGCAAUUACUAGGGUGGAGAAAUGUUGUAUUUAUUUGUAUCAAGUUCACUGAAUUAUUAAAAAAUGUUGCCAUAGAAAUAAGGUUGUUAGAAAAAUUAUAAAAAACCGUCAUAAUAAAUUUAAUAAAAAAGCUCUUGUCAAAUUGUUCUUCGACCCGGACAAUAUAAUAUAUCACAUUAGGUAAGAGUCAAUAACAACAGCAUUUUGCUAUUUCAGGAAUUGAUUUGGAAACCUCUUCCUCUAAUUCUCUUUGGAAUUACUUCGCUAAUGUCGGGGGUGUUGUGCUUGAAAUUUCCCGAAACUAAAGAUGUCAAACUACCCGAUACAAUAGACGAAUCAAUAUCUAUUGGCACGAAGAAGGAGAUAACACGCUGUAAUACAUGAAAGUAUAAAAAUUAUAUGUUAUAUAAUUAUGUACAAUGACAAAUGGCAAAUAAACAGCAUCAAAACGCAUUUUAUAAGAAUUCCAUCCGGAACUUUGCCGUUGUGGAGAUCGAUGUGUCAGGUUUCAUUGGAAAAUCGGAGACCAUUCGUUAGAAAAUUCGAAGAGUUGCAUCGAUUUGCGACUAAAAUUAGCAAUGUUUUUUGUGUACUUGAAAAUGCACACACGGUGUAUGUGCACAACGUAUAGCCCUUGUUUCUUAUAGGUAAGAUUUUUUUAAAGAAGCCAUGUGAGGCCAUAGCAACUUUAGGAUACAUUUUUCUUAAACUUAAGACCUCACAGGCCACGCACUGACACCA